rnacentral:rRNA from 1 species
UACAGAGGUCCCAAGCGUUGUUCGGAUUCACUGGGCGUAAAGGGUGCGUAGGCGGUCGGGUAAGUCUGAUGUGAAAUCUCACAGCUUAACUGUGAAACUGCAUUGGAUACUAUCCGGCUAGAGGAAUGGAGGGGAGACUGGAAUACUUGGUGUAGCAGUGAAAUGCGUAGAUAUCGUAAGGAAGACCAGUGGCGAAGGCGAGUCUCUGGACAGUUACUGACGCUGAGGCACGAAGGCCAGGGGAGCAAACGGG